AGCGGCACGGAGGCCGCUGGUUCCAUCAGAAGUGAUGUUUCGGCUGCUGCCGAAACUCACAGUCAAAACUAUACACGGAUGUAUAGUUUUGACGUAG
rnacentral:sRNA from 1 species